rnacentral:RNase_P_RNA from 1 species
GAAGUGGUCAAGAGAAUCGCUCUGCAGUGUUCAUUAUGGUGCAGGGAGGAAAGUCCGAACUCCAAGGGGCAGGAUGCUCGCUAACAGCGAGGAGCCGCGAGGCUAUGGACAGUGCCACAGAAAACAGACCGCCCGUCACGAAGACGGGUAAGGGUGAAAAGGCGAGGUAAGAGCUCACCGGCAUAUAAGGCGACUUGUGUGCGCACGGUAAACCCCAUCCGGAGCAAGGUCAUAGAACCUUUGAAUGACGACUGGUACGGUGAUAAACCGUUUGUACCGAUUGUUGUUCUCGGGUAUUGGGAAUAUGAGCCGUCCCUCUCAAUCCGCUUACCGCGGAUUGUUCCCAGGUAGACCGCAUUAGAUAAAUGAUUCUCAAAACACCAUAUCCGGUGUUUACAGAAUUCGGUGUAUUGGCCACUUCUGUU